rnacentral:rRNA from 1 species
GGCUCAGGACGAACGCUGGCGGUGUGCUUAACACAUGCAAGUCGAGCGAGAACCUGGAGAGGGGUAACCCGCCCCAGGGGAGAGCGGCGAACGGGUGAGUAACACGUGGGCAACCUGCCCCAGACACUGGGAUAACUCCGGGAAACCGGGGCUAAUACCGGAUACUCUCGCGGGAUCGCAUGAUCCUUCGAGGAAAGCUCCGACGGUCUGGGAUGGGCCCGCGGCCUAUCAGCUUGUUGGUGGGGUAACGGCCCACCAAGGCGUCGACGGGUAGCUGGCGUGAGAGCGUGACCAGCCACACUGGGACUGAGACACGGCCCAGACUCCUACGGGAGGCAGCAGUGGGGAAUCUUGCACAGUGGGCGAAAGCCUGAUGCAGCGACACCGCGUGAGGGAUGAAGGCCUUCGGGUUGUAAACCUCUUUCGGCAGGGACGAAGCGAAAGUGACGGUACCUGCAGAAGAAGGUCCGGCUAACUACGUGCCAGCAGCCGCGGUAAGACGUAGGGACCGAGCGUUGUCCGGAUUUAUUGGGCGUAAAGCGCGCGCAGGCGGUUACGAAAGUCGGGUGUGAAAAUCUGGGGCUCAACCCCGGACCUGCACCCGAUACUCCGUGACUAGAGGCAGGUAGGGGAGAUCGGAAUUCCUGGUGUAGCGGUGAAAUGCGCAGAUAUCAGGAGGAACACCGGUGGCGAAGGCGGAUCUCUGGGCCUGUCCUGACGCUGAGGUGCGAAAGCUAGGGGAGCGAACAGGAUUAGAUACCCUGGUAGUCCUAGCCGUAAACGUUGGAUGCUAGGUGUGGGCGGACAUUGACCCCGUCUGUGCCGGAGCUAACGCAUUAAGCAUCCCGCCUGGGGAGUACGGCCACAAGGCUAAAACUC